CAAGGGAGGUAACUCUAAAUAUCUUCCCUCCGAUAACAUCCAGUGACAUGGUUUUCUCAAGACGAUUGCUUGGCUUUGGAACCCAGUUUUUGAGGUUCAGCCAAUGUCGGGCUCAAAGCACAAAGAAUCCUCAAGUGUUCUUUGAUGUAAGUAUUGACAACAAGGAUGCUGGGCGUAUAGUGAUGGAACUCCGGGCUGAUGUAGCCCCCAGAACAGCAGAAAAUUUCCGAGCUCUGUGUACACACGAGAAAGGGUUUGGCUACAAGGGAAGCUCCUUUCAUAGAAUAAUCCCCACUUUUAUGUGCCAGGGAGGAGACUUUACCAGACAUAAUGGUACUGGUGGGAAGUCUAUCUACGGGGAAAAGUUUGCUGACGAGAACUUUGACCUGAAGCACACUGGACCAGGGAUUCUCUCCAUGGCUAAUGCUGGACCGAACACAAAUGGCUCUCAGUUCUUUAUUUGCACAGAAAAAACAGAAUGGCUAGAUGGGAAGCAUGUUGUGUUUGGUCAGGUCACUGAUGGCAUGGACACUGUCAAGAAGAUGGAGGCUUGUGGUUCCCGAAAUGGCACUCCAGCUAAGAGAGUUUCUAUAGAAGACUGUGGGGAGGUGAAGGAGGAGUAGCAGGAAGUGACUCUAGGUGGGAAUGAGUUUGUUAGAUCUGGCAGCAGCAGCAGCAGCAGCAACAGCAGUAGCUUCUGGGCCAUAACAGCUUAACAGCUUGCUGUGGAAGUAACCCAGGACCAACAGCAUGCUGUCACAAUGCUGUAGUUGAACCAGAUCGCUCGUGGAGAACGAACCUAAAUACACUUCCAAUGUAAUCUGCAAUUAA
rnacentral:misc_RNA from 1 species